CGCACGCGUAUUGGCCUCGUUCUCGGAUACGGCCGCCCCCUCUCUGUCUCCUCACCUUUCAUCUUCCUCUCCUCGCACACGCAACCUUUGCCUCCUCUCCUCUCCCUUUCCUCUUCCCCUUCUUCUCCUCGACACGAAAGCAAGCUUGGCGAUUGGGAUUCAAGCGCCAGCGCUCCAAAUCCGGCGGAGGGGUGGCGCGCGCCGGCGGCGGCGAUUUCGAUUUGUGGUAAUCCUCACCGCUGGAGGCGGCUGCCCGAUCCAGCCACCGGUGAACAAACUCCCGACCAUCCCUCCUUGCCCGCGUCUCUAGCCCUUACUCGUUUUCGCCACCAUCCUCGACGCGUCUGGCGUAGGAGGCUGGGGGUGGUCGUGGUGGCGGCACAGAUCCGAGGAAGGAGCGAGUGGGAGGAGAAGGCAGCGGUGGAGGUUUUGAUCUAUCGACAUGGGAGGCGGAGCGAUCUGGACGAGAUGACUGGUGCAGGUUUCCUCACCAUGCUGCGACCAGCACCUACGCAGGUGAUUGGUGUUGUUGUCCUUUUCGACAGCGGCAGCGGACGGCGCUGGGCGGCAAGCCCAUCAGUGCCCGUGUGCCCCGACCGGUGCGGACUGCUUGCGUAGGGCCACAACAGCUGCUUGCUCAAGCCUGCGUGUGGACUGCCCGUGAUCGGCUGCCCCGCUGCCUAAAAUAUACGUGCCCUUAAGGCUUGGUGUCCAUGGGGAUAGAAAACUGAGUUGAUUUCAAGUGGUACCUGAACGUCUACACAAGAUUUGACUAAAACUUCCUCCUACUAGAUUUCACAAGAGAGCCUUCUAUUCUCCUUUUUAGAACUGAAUAUAUUUGAUGUGCCGUUCAAUAGCAAUGUAGAUACACUGACUCUGUUUUUUCACUAUCAAACAGUCCCAACAAUAGGACUCUCUGCAAAAUCAAUUCUGGUGUCUUGUACUCUUGUUUAAUUGUUUUAUUUGAUGCGAGCUAAGAUUGAUUUCCAGCUCAUCUCCAUGGGUUCCCCGAGGUGAGGGCGAUGUUGAGGAGAGAUGGCGUCGAGGACGACAUCCGAGGACAUCAUCACGCUCAUGGCUUCGCCGCCAUCGUCAUCGAGUUUUUUGGUUUCACAGCAAACAGGUGUGCGAUGGGCCGGCAACCAGUGGCGCCAUCUCUAUCCCCGACACUAGAUAAUAGCGUGGCUAAUGGCCUGCACGCGGUGCGCCUGUCUGUGCCCGUGCGCUCAGGCCGGUGCGGACUGCGACUACGCGUAGGGCCGCCGCAGCUGCUUGCUCAAGGCGGCGUGCGGACUGCCUGGAUCUAAGACGACACAUAUCACACUUCUGCCCGUCAUGCUAAUUUGGGUGCUUUUUUGAGGUGUGGGAUUGGGCAGUGGUGAGCUUGGCUCUCAUAUCAUUUUUCUCGUCUACAUUUAUCUUGAUGUUGGGAAGCAGUCAAUGGGUGAUUAUCGAAUGUGUCGGAACUUCCAAGCAAAUGUCUCUCUGUGGCUAAAAUAAAUCUUAUUUCCCCUCAAGUCACUAAACUGCAAUGGGUAGUUGGUCGGUCGCUGUCAAUUGAAUGUGGGAAUUGAAAUGUCUUGCCGUUUUACAAUUCUUGUUUUGCUUCACAAUAUUCUCUGUUAAAUAGACCUGUUAGUAUCUAUGAAACUACUACGCUUGCUUUGCUUUAUGAAUGAACACUUGUCUCCUGCAGUUUUUACCGUGUCUUAUAUUCGAACCACUACGCUCAUCUGGUCUGCCACUUUUUUCUUUUGCUGAAUUAUACAUGUUGUCAUGCAAAGACAUCAACAAAUAUGGAAGUUUGAUUAGUGCGCACAAUUUUGCCUCUCAAGAGGCGCCAUCAGGUGGCGCCCCAGCCACUAGUAAUUUUGCAAGUAGCGGUAGUAAUUUUGCAAGUAGCGGCGGCUGGAUGGACCUCCCAAGCGAUCUCCUUGGCCGCAUCUUGCAACUCCUUGAGCUCCUCGAAGCUCUCGCUGCCGCAGCCGUUUGCACUUCAUGGUGCUCAGCCGCAGCGGCCGCCGGCGUCCCUCGCGGCCUCACGCCGUGGCUCAUUAGCUGGAAACCCGGCAACUGCCGGAGCAGCGAGUUUUGGAACCUCAUCGGCACCCGUGAGACCCACAAGGUUAGCUUGCCCACCGGGCGGCACAACCCCGAGUGGAGGCUCGUCGCAUCGGACGAGCUCUCCAAGAGUGAAUUGCAGAAAACAUUGACACUUCAGACUGGUUUGCAGAAACCACAUAUACGAAAUUAUGCCAAAAAACAUUAAUUUUUUUCAUAAUUUUUUGCAAAAAACACUAGUUGCUCAUUUGGACCGUUUUAAGUGCGUUUAUGACAGGGGCCCGCAUCCGUCGACACGUCGUUGGCGCACCGGUUCGAGCCGGGCGGGUCAAACACCCCGAAGCGGUGCAGGCCCACCCCCAGCCCUCACUCUCUCCUGCCCUUCUCCCUCUCUUUGCUCCCGCUCGUUCGCCGCCGGAGUCCCCUCCCACAUCUCCGACCGCCGCGUCGCCAUGGUGUCUUGGUCUGAUGACGACAGCAGCAAGAACUCUCACAAGUACGCCGACUCAGCUUCAGACAAGGGCAUCAUCAAGACCAUGGAUAACUCCGAUUUCGAGGGCACUAAACCUGAUGCUUUGUGCAAUGAACUCCCUGCCAGCAGAGAGGCGUGUUGCUUUCCAGGGCAUCCAUACUGGCAGGAGGUUCCUUGCUUGUGCUGUGAAGGAGGGAAGAAACUGUGGGCUAGUUGAAUGGGUUGAUCCAUUUUGGCCAGCUACAAUGGAGAAUGCAUUGACCAAGUUGUGGGAUAAGUAUGAAGAGUGCAGGAGGAGCAAGAUUGAGGACAAUCUGGAAAGCUCAUUUGCUGUUCACAAUCUGACACAACAGAAGAUCAAGUUGCAGGCAAGUUAUGAGAGGUUGGUUGAAGAUGUCAAUGGUCUUUUGGAUGCACAGGAGCAGAGGGCUCAGAUGGAGUGAGGUAAGAUGCAAAACAACCUUAAGAGAGCAAGCUGCACGAGAAGUAUGACAUGCUCAAGAACCUGACAGUUGUUCAAGCCAAUGUCAUUAGGAACAUGAAGUUGAAGCUUGCUGAAGAGAAGAUUAAGUUGCAGGCCCACAUUGAUGAGCUUGAGAAGGUUGUGGAGCAGACCAAGCUAAAGCUGAAUGGGAUCAAGGCCAUCUUAGAU